ACGGGAGGCAGCAGUGGGGAAUAUUGCACAAUGGGGGAAACCCUGAUCCAGCGACGCCGCGUGAGUGAAGAAGUAUUUCGGUACGUAAAGCUCUAUCAGCAAGGAAGAAAAUGACGGUACUUGACUAAGAAGCUCCGGCUAAAUACGUGCCAGCAGCCGCGGUAGUACGUAUGGAGCAAGCGUUAUCCGGAUUUACUGGGUGUAAAGGGAGCGUAGACGGCAAAGCAAGUCUGAAGUGAAAUCCCGGGGCUCAACCCCGGAACUGCUUUGGAAACUGUUUAGCUAGAGUGCAGGAGAGGUAAGCGGAAUUCCUAGUGUAGCGGUGAAAUGCGUAGAUAUUAGGAGGAACACCAGUGGCGAAGGCGGCUUACUGGACUGUAACUGACGUUGAGGCUCGAAAGCGUGGGGAGCAAACAGGAUUAGAUACCCUGGUA
rnacentral:rRNA from 1 species